rnacentral:lncRNA from 1 species
CUGAAAACCAAGAAGUCUUUCAUACAUCUAACGAGAGCUCAGCUUGAGAACCAUGAAGUCUUUUCUCAUUGUUGCCUGUGUGUUUGGGCUCUGUUGUGCAGUGCUAGCAGUGGAUGAAGAACAUAGAGAGAAGCGCUCAUCAAGCCGUUCCUCAGAGAGAUGGCAUGGAGGAUUUCCUCGUCCCUUUCCCAACCCAUACUUUCCCCCUUCCCGGCCUCAGCCUCCGAACAUCACUGCCCUGCUCAAUCUUUUGGCAUCCAUCUUGGCAUCUUCGACCCCAGCACCCACUAGGGCUCCUGCCCCAGCCCCUGCUCGAUAAGGCAAAAUUCACUAUUUAAAACCAAGCAUGUGUCCAAUUGACAUGAUACUCUUGUUCUUGGUAUAUUCAAAAUAAUAAAUAAAUAAAUGUUGCAUCCUAAAUU